UUUCGAAGGAGUCGUUCGUAUAUUUUGC
rnacentral:sRNA from 1 species